rnacentral:misc_RNA from 1 species
GGAAGUAAAAGCCGUAACAAGGGUUCCGUAGGUGAACCUGCGGAAGGAUCAUUACUGAGUGAGGGCCCUCUGGGUCCAACCUCCCACCCGUGUUUAUUAUACCUUGUUGCUUCGGUGAGCCCGCCUCACGGCCGCCGGGGGGCAUCUGCCCCCGGGCCCGCGCCCACCGAAGACACCUAGAACUCUGUAUGAAGAUUGCAGUCUGAGCAAAAACUAAAUAAGUUAAAACUUUCAACAACGGAUCUCUUGGUUCCG